AUCCAGAUGACGAGUCUUGAAUAGGACGAAACGCGCGUCCUGGAC
rfam:Schistosoma mattheei strain Denwood, Zambia genome assembly, scaffold: SMTD_scaffold0008388